rnacentral:lncRNA from 10 species
GUGGAUCAGGCGCACUGCAGGGAGGUGGGUGCGCGGCAUCUUCACCCCUCUAAAUGCGGCUCCUACUCUGUAGCUGACAGACACCCACAGACGUGUCUGUAGCAUCCUCUGUCACACUGGGACCCGUACUGGCAGCAGGAGCCGUAGGGAGGACUGGGACACCUGGAAGCCAGGAAUUGGUUGAAGAAUUUGUGACCGUGGAUAAGUUCGUUUCCUGUUAUGUGAACUUGGCAGAUUAAUGCUAAAUCCUGUGGGACAGCAUUUAGCAACACCUAAAAAACAUGAUAAAGAAAUACCUGAGACUGGGUAAUUUAUAAAGAAAAGAGGUUGAAUUGGCCCAUGAUUCUGCAGACUGCACAGGAAGCAUGGUACUGGAAGGAUGGCAUCUGCUCAGCUUCUAGGGAGGCCUCAGGAAACUGACAAUCAUGGUGGAAGGCAAAGGGGGAGCAGCAGUUCACACGGCCAGAGAAGGAGCAAGAGAGAGCAGGGCAAGGUGCCACAGACUUUUAAAUGACCGGUUCUCACAAGAACUUACCAUCUCAAGAACAGCACCACAGGGAUAGUGCUAAACCAUUCAUGAAGGACCACCAUCCAGUCACCUCCCACAAGGCCCCACCUUCAAUAUUGGGAAUUACAAUUCGACAUGAGAUUUGGGUGGAGAUUCAAAUCCAAACCAUGUCCUUUUGCUUUUUUCUGUUUUGUUUGUGGAGUAGAUUUUUCUCCAUCCCUUUACUUUGAGCCUAAGGGUGCCAUUGCAUGUGAGAUGGGUCUCUUGAAGACAGCAUACCAUUGGAUCUUGCUUUUUUAUCCAAGUCACCACUGUGCCUUUUAAUUGGGGCAUUUAGCCUGCUUACAUUCAAGGACUCAGUGACCUUUGAGGAUGUGGCUGUGAACUUCACCCAGGAGGAGUGGGCUUUGCUGGGUCCUUCCCAGAAGAAUCUCUACAGAGAUGUGAUGUGGGAAACCUUCAGGAACCUGAUGUCUGUAGAAGUCAUAUGGUAGAGAGAGUCUGAAGGUAAGGAAGAUGGUCAAUGUGAAGAGAUCUUCAGCCUUGUUCCAAAUGGUAUAGUGAAGACGACUUUUACUGGAGUCAAAUCAUGUGAAAGCAGUGUGUGUGAAGAAGGCAAUAUGGAUCAUUCAUCUCUUAAUUGCUGCAUCAGAGCUGACACUGGACACAAAUCAGAUGAGUGUCAGCAACAUAGAAGCCACAUAAGCAGUGUGUGAAAACCUUCAGCUAUUGCCACUCCUUUCAAACACAUGAAAGGCCUCACACUGGAAAGAAACUCCAUGUAAGAAAUGUGGAAAAACCUUCAUUUCUGUUCAAACCUUUUGAAGAUACAUGGUAAUGCACAGUGAAGAUGAACCUUAUAAAUGUAAGUUUUGUGGGAAGGCCUUUGAUAAUCUACAUUUAUAUCUUACACAUGAAAGAACUCACACUGGAGAGAAACCCUAUGAAUGUAAUAAAUGUGGGAAAGCCUUCAGUUGUUCCAGUUCCAUUCGAAAACAUGCAAGAAUUCACACUGGAGAGAAACCCUAUAUAUGUAAACAAUGUGGCAAAGCC